AUACGUAGGGAGCAAGCGUUGUCCGGAAUUACUGGGUGUAAAGGGAGUGUAGGCGGGAAGGCAAGUUGAAUGUGAAAUCGGUCGGCUCAACCGACCGCUGCGUUCAAAACUGUUUUUCUUGAGUGAAGUAGAGGCUGGCGGAAUUCCUAGUGUAGCGGUGAAAUGCGUAGAUAUUAGGAGGAACACCAGUGGCGAAGGCGGCCAGCUGGGCUUUUACUGACGCUGAGGCUCGAAAGCGUGGGGAGC
rnacentral:rRNA from 1 species